UGGCCCGUAGCUCAGGUGGUUAGAGCGCACGCCUGAUAAGCGUGAGGUCGACAGUUCUGAGUCUGUCCGGGCCAACCA
rnacentral:tRNA from 1 species